AACGCAACUUGCGCCAUCUGUCACAGGAUGGCAUGUCUGUUUGAGUACGAAAUCAAAAUAUGCGCCGUAUGGUGCAAUGUGGCCUGGACAGCAACACGUCUGGGCUGAAAAGGAGCCAGUCAGGCUGGACGGUCUGGCAGUGUGCUAGGGACAAGGGCGGUGUGGAUAUGGUGAGCGUGAUGGGAAUCACUCGCACUCUUCCGCAGCGCCCGCACGUCUUGUCGCUGCCAGCCCAACCAGCCCCCACACCUCAACUACCACGUCUCAAAUCAGGCAAGAAGACCCGCUGAACUUAA
rnacentral:misc_RNA from 1 species